CAAAAUCUAAACAAAAUCAAAGGCUGCCUCCCAAAAGGGGACAGAUCAAGAUGAAGAUACUGAAAUUUCUUGUAAAAUCAGAAGUUGGAUUUGUAUCAGUAGGGAUUGAGUCAGGAAGAUCAAAUCAAAAACUACCUCCUAAAAGAGGACAGAUCAAGAUGAAGAUACUGAAAUCUCUUGUAAAAUGAGCGGGUGGAUUUAUAUCAGUAGCCAGUGAAUCUGGAAGCUCAAAUUUCACAACCCAACAUCAAGCUCUAAGCUGCUACAGCUCAGGGAAUGAUUCUGAUUGAUGAAAUUCUUCAAACUUUACUCAGUCUUGUUUAUUUGUACAGUACAGUAUUGUAUAUAGGUGAAUUCUGUUGAGGACCAUCUUUCAAUUGAUCUUUCGCUUAGACAAUCCCAAUCCCAAUUCCAAUAGUAAUGACAUACUGUUCUUACUCGUGAAUUUCUGUAGUUAAAAAGUAAAAACCAUCAAAUUGAAAUUUCUUCUCUCAGUGUACAAAUACGAAUAUCAGCUUAUACAGUACAUCAGCUAGUAAUGUAAAAGAAAGUGAAAAUGUACUUAAAACUUUUAAUAAAUCAAAAUCAAAAUCAAAAUCAAAAUCAAAAUCAAAAUCAAAAUCAGAAUCAACCGAUUACUGAUCAGGGUUCAGUUGGCCGGAGUUGGAGUUCGAUGUGGAGUUUGAGUAAUUCUUUUUCCCAAAUCCAUCACCCACUGACAUGACUCCACUGGCUGAUUUCAACAGAAUCCUGGCUAUCCUAAUCUUCACCUCUCCUCUCCUUGGAGGAAGAAGAACACUCUGUUUUGGUUCCAUCUUCUUCCUCCUUGCUUGUUUUUACAGAAAAGGAAAGAGUUUAAUGGCAUAGGCAGGCGGCUGUGUGUGGGUGUGUGUGAAAGUUCUCAAAGGUAACAUAUUUAUGGAGUCCAGAUAGCAGCAAGAAUAAAGUCCGUCACUAAAGAAUACAACAAAUUCAUCAUAUGGGUGAUGCGUAUACAAUUUUUAUAAACCCUCGUUUGGAAUAGCUAAAAGUAUAUGCUUCAAGAAUAUAUUACAAUUAAAAAUAUAUAUAAUUCAAGGUGGGUUCUAGAUGAUUGUGUUACACGAAUGGUCAUUGAAGUUAAUGAAAUAUUUCAAAUUAGUCCUUCUAAUAUUUUUUUUUCACUUAUUUAGUCAUUCAACUUAAUUAUUAUGGUUGUUGAAGUUGAUUAGUCAUUCUGUCAUUGAAAUGAAUUUAAAUUCCCCCCCCCCCCCGCCCACCCUUUCAAAUUACAACAUUAUAGAUUUUCUCAGGCUAAUGAUACUUUCUGAAAUUUGCUAAAAUUUAUAAUUUUUUACGUCGUCCUUAAUGGAUAUUUGCAUCUUGUAUAUAGCAUGUGCUUCUAUGGUGAUUUCUACAUCCGCAAUUUGUAUAUUUGAACCUUUGUCCAGUGCUGCUUGGACAUUAUUAUCACUAAUUAGGUUACUAAUGGUUAUCGCAUUUAUACCUUAUAAUUUCUAUACUCAUUUACCAUAGCCAUAGGAUCUUUAUCAAGAUAAACAAAAACAACAAUUGUCCUUAACAUUAAAAUAGUUCAUGUCGGAACAUGAAAUUUAUUUUAAUGUUCCAGCUAUGGUUGGUAUAAAGCGACGUUUCUUUAAUUCCAAUAUUAAACCAAAAGGUAAUGGCAAGAAGUAUAUUCAUACAGGCAAUGCAGCAACAUUUGCUCAUCUCCAACGUGUAUGUCAACUUCUCCCUUUCGCAGCGGUCUACUUCUUUUUAGUUUCUUCAUAUUUGUAUAAAUAUAAGAUUUACAUCUGAUAUCAAAUACCUAAGAAACUAUUGAAGUAGACGUAAGCCACGCAAUAUUCCUUCCAAUGACCUUUCAUUCUAUAAUAAAACAAGGGGUCAUUAGACUUGGUAUUGUCCUUCGCUUUGACGGUCUUAACCAUAUUGGAUGCUUUCACAAAGCCCCUUUAGACUUCCUCUAAAAAUCUUUAGAGGAAUCAAUGGCUUGCCCAUUACUAACUUUGAUGUUGAGCUUAACAGUCUUAAGCAUGUUAAGCAACUCAAUAAUUGUGCAUUCUAGUUUAUUCAUGUUAAAUUCAUAAUUAGUUGUGAAUAGCUUUCUCUGACAGAGAUUGCAGAACCAAGUCACUACUUAGUUCAUGGUUUAUGAUUGAACUCAAUUGAGACAUUUUUCAACGUCAAUCAUCUUCAGUGUUUAAGCAUCGAUUGACGAUUACUAUGUCAUCCUCCCACACAUGAUUAUUAUCAUACAACUCUUUGUAAUGAAGAAUUAUGUGUUAACAUCUAUACUCUCAAGUUGCUUUUGUAACUCGGUGAUAUAGUUGCAAGCAUCCCAUGCGUGCAAUAUUGUCUCAUCACUGUGUUUAUUAUAGUAGCCACAUUUUCCUUAGUUGAGUCAUCAUCAGGUGUCUCUGGAAAAUGAUUAUUUAAGGACAACCAACUUUCUCAUACUUGAGAACAAUUCUCAAAUUGCAGUGUCAAUCAAAAAGAUUUAAUUUGGUUGUUGGCAUCUAAUAUGCGUCUCAAAUACACAUGGUUACUCACGAUUCAAUAAAUAUAAACGACAAAAGAAAAAGAAUAAUAUAUAAAAUACAUCAAUUAAUUUAACAUGGACUUUUAUUAAAUUAAUUUUACUCCACUAUUUAACUAAAAUUUAUGACCAUCUUACAUAAAUUUAUGGAGUACAUGCUUGACUCCCAGUGGACUGGGAUCCCUAUCUAUUAUAUUAAGAUCUUGAGUGUACUCAAUAAGCCCUAAUAUAACAUUUGGGUUGAUACUAUUAUCAAUUGUAUCUCCAUAUAACUCCCAGAUCAUUAAAUUGGCAACUCUUUGUUUUCACACAUCUUAUCUGUUAGCUUAACAUGCCUCUAAAAUUUAUCUCCUUGAGUGUACUCAACAAAAGAUUUGCCAUCAUUCAAAAAUAUCAAAUAUUUCAUAGUAUCAAACAUAUCCCUAAUGGACCAGCCUUAAGUGUACUCAACAAGUUGAGACGAUUUAGAACUCUGAUUUUUCACUAUAAUGAUGGAAGGCGAUUACAAAUGUGACUUAAUAUUUUAUGGAGGGAUUUUACAUUCAAAAGUCUCAUCAACAAUGAUACAAUCAUAUAUAUAUUAUUAUAUAUCUACCAUGCAAAUAAACAUAUAUAACAUAUAAUAUAAUAGCGUGGACAAUUAUGAACUUUACUAUCUAGUCUUCCCGAGCUAUAAGGAAGACUAGUUGGUCAAUUUCUAGGGGGUAUUACACUGAUCAGUAUCAAUGCGCAUCUCCAUGGUCUCCUCCUCUUCUUGUUUCUUCGAUUAGUCCAGUUGCAACAUUUAUCCUAUACUAAUUGGCACGCAAGCCUAAAAAAAAUUGGACUCGCAGGCCUAUAGCAAUAAUAAUAAUGACGGACUCACAGGUUCAAGAUGAUCAGGAGCUCGCAGACCCAAAAUAAUAACAAUAAUAACGGGCUCGCAGGCCCACAAAACAACAAGAAUAAAAUUCAACCAUUCAACACAUCCAUAUGGUCGAGUCCAUAAUCAUCCACUAAUAAUACAUUCAUCACAUAAAUGUACAUGUAUAUAAUAUCUAAUAUUAUAUCCUAACAUGUUUCAAGUUUCUAGCAAUUAAGAUCGUCUAAACUCUUUGAGACUUAUGGAUCGGAAUAAUUAAAUAAUUAAUUAAUCAUAUUAAUCAAUUAUUUAAUUAGCGGGCAUGUUUAAUUAAAAUCAAAUUUUAAUUAAAUACCGAAUUAGAGUCCAACUCUAAUUCGACAAUUAUAGGGCGGGAUAAUUUAAUUAAAAUCAAAUUUUAAUUAAAUAUCAAAUUAGAGUCAAACUCUAAUUUCAAAAUUUAAGGGCGAAUGAAUUUAAUCAAAAUCAAAAUUUAAUUAAAUGGUAAAAUUAGAGUCCAACUCUAAAUCUAAGAUUUUAGGGCGAACCUGUUUAAUCAAAAUCAAAUUUUAAUUAAACAUCAAAUUAGAGUCUAACUCCAAUUUAAAGAAAAAUUUAGGGCGAAAUAAUUUAAUUAAAAUCAAAUUUUAAUUAAAUGUCAAAUUAGAAUCCAAUUCUAAUUUCUAAAAUAUCUUCGGGUAAAAAAUUAAUUAAAAUCGAAUUUUAAUUAAGUCCUAAAUUAGAGUCCAACUCUAAUUUAAAUUGAAUCAAUAUUUUAAAUUAGGAUAACACUCCUAAAUAAAUAAAAUUCAAUUGGGGUCAAAAUUUAAUAUUUAAGUCAAAAUUCAAUUUUAACGAAAAUAUAAAAUGUCGUCAAUUUUAAAUAAAAUUUUAAUUUGGGUCAAAAUAAAAACAUGGGUCAAACCCAAUUAAAAACAUAAUUUUAAAACCCAUUUAAAAUUUAAAUUCAAAACCUAUUUUGAAAUUUGCAAAUUGACCCAAGUUUAAAAUUAAAAGGUCGUCAUUCAAUUAACUUAAUUGCGUGACAAGUCCUCCAAUUAAAAAUUGUGCAGUCACCCUUCUCAUUUAAUUGUAAGCAGGGGUCCUUAAGAUGAAGUAUUGCCAAAAAUGACCCUCAAUUAAAAAAUUAACAAUUUGACCCCAGAUAUUAUAUUUGCAGGUGGGGGCCUGUAAUUUUAGAAAUUGCAAACGAGGCCCCUGCCUCCAAACCCCCAAAACUGUCUGUAAACCCUAAAAUUCACCAAUUUUUUUUUCUUUUUUGUUUAGUUUAUCUAGUGGCGGUGCCGGUAAGACAAGACCCGCCGCCAUAGGUGGCAGGUCUUGCUACCCUAAGCACUGCUGAAAACAGCGGCUGUGAUGCCGCUGCUUGAGCGCCCGCAGGCGUCGCUGCAGACUGCAGUGGCGCAUGCUGCUGUCGCUGUCGGCGGGCAGCAUACUGCUGCCCGUCGGCGGUGGCGGCGAGGAUCCCCUUUUUUUUUUGAAUCAGAUUUCAAAAUUAUAAAAUUAAAUUUCAACUUAAUUGCUAGAAACAAGAAAUUUAAUAACAAUCAACGUUUUGACUGAUCAAUUACACAAAUCAAUUUCUAACAAAUAAAAAGGAGGCUCUGAUACCACUGUUGGGAAUCUACUUAUACAUGCACAGCGAAAAAUUAAAAUAAUUUCGAUUCCCACCGAUGAUCCCUUUGUGUUUAAUUAGAGAUCGUGAUAAAGAUUGUACCUUUGAAGAAUUCUGCAAAUUUUUUGCUUUUCUCUUCGUUCCAGCAAUCUUGAUUCGCCAUUCACAACUGUCCAAUUGUACAACCUCCAACGGUGAUCCACACAAAGAACAAGAUUGCAGCUACUAGGGUUUUUUUCUUAUACUAGCAAGAAUAAUGAAAAACAUAUGGACCUCAAACUCUAGCUAUGUAUUUAUAUAAAUCCAAACAGACUCGACCCGGUCCGGUCCAAUAUUUAAUUAAUCCAUUUAAUUAAACUCAGUUCGUUAAUUAAUUAACCCAAUUAAUUAAGUGGGAAAUAUAAAUAACAAAUCGAAUUAGUUAAUUUAUCCAACGAUUGUUAAAUUAACCAAUUGGCAAUUUACAAUCUUUCAAUUCUCUUUUGUGUGUGACCCAUUAGGUUCCUAACCACGAUAUCUAACGACGUGAAUAUUAUUCUAAUCUAAUCAAAAUUGAUAAAUAAAACACCCUUUUAAUUUAUCGUAAAUUUACACUCGCCGUUCCUGAUUGACAUCUAGCAAUGUGUCAGGGCAAUUUAUGUGACGGGAAAUGUCACGUGGUAUGAUAAAAUCAAAUUCGUUCGUUUACCGUGAAACUAUAAUCCCUUCGUCAAUACGAUCCGAUCAAUUACGAGAUAUGAAAGUGUGUCAAUCUCGAUCAUCAAUCAUAUCUUUCACUCCACUAUUAAGUCAAUAUAAGUCGAAAACUCUUUUUUGACUUAUGAGUACACCUUGGCCAAAGAUUUCAUCAUCGACUUAAUUGAAUAAAAUUCAGAUCAUAGUCUCCUACUAUCUAAUAGUGAUGAAUCAUUUAUUGAUCAAUCACAACCUUCAUACGAUUCUUGACGUACCUGAACGAUGUCGUAUUAGCGGCCCAUUUCAGAGCAACAUCCAACACUGUCAAAGUAUGACUGUCCUCAUAUAAGGUACCAUGACGACCUCAAGUCAAAAGACCAAUUCCACUACCGAACGUUAGAGAUUAAUCACUGACACUCAGAUAGUUUUCCAUGUGGAAUCUCUCGGCGGGUCUCCAAUGUUUUGUUCUAUAACAAAACCUCCACGUGUUCAUUUAAGUGUCACCACAGUUUAGUUUGUGAGAUCAGCUACUUACUUUAUAAGUAAGAAAUACCACACGUGAUGAUCUAUCUGUAAUAAUGAUAUCUGUAUCUCGUUAUUACUUAUGACCACGGAUGAUUUAAAAUUCAAUCAGACGUAAUUUGUAUCUCACAAUCAUAACUCCUUGUGAUUAACAAAUUACGAAAAUUUGAAUCUACGGACUCUAUUAUUUAUUUAAUUGUCUAUUAAUUAAAUAAUAGAUCUGUCAUUAAAUUACAUUAAUUAUAUAUCAAAAGUAUUUAUGUCCAAAGUUGAUUGGACCUAGAGCAUGAUACUUACACCGAUGAUUUACGAUUGUGGUUGAAAUUAAUUGACACUAGACUAAGUAAAUAGUCCUUGUGAUUUUGACACUCUAUUCACUCUAUUAUUACUUGUUCACGAUCCGUUCACUUGCGAGAAAUUAAACGAAACAAGGCUCAAACAGGGACUAAAAAAGAUGUAAAUUAAAAUAAGUUGACACCACUUUUUUAAACAUUAUGUACAAUUAUAACCUAACAAGACCUAAACUACAUCGUGCUAAAGGCGGGCACAAGAGAAUCUUAAAGCCGUUGUGUAUGGGUCAUUGAAGCAUUAGAGAAACAAUUGGAUGGAUCAAAAUAGUAAUUGGGUUUGUGAGGUGGACCCGCCAAAUAUUCCAAUUUGAUGACAUGUGUGAGCCGAUACGAUCCAUGUGUCAAAAUCUUAAAGUCAUUUUUAGUAUAUGUUUUUGGAUCGAUCAAACAAAAAGCCAGCACCACAAAUUCACUGUCUUUUUCAAUUGAAUCCCUAGUCUUGAAGGCCAAGCAAUUGAAUUUCGUGUUUUAGUCCCUUCAAAGCUUAAAUCCCCAUCUGUUUUUCUCAUUUUAUUGACUACUCUGUUUUCAGAAUUUCCAAUUGAAGUUUAAGCUAUGGAUUUCAUCCCCUCAAAAUCUAAACAAAAUCAAAGGCUGCCUCCCAAAAGAGGACAGAUCAAGAUGAAGAUACUGAAAUUUCUUGUAAAAUCAGAGGUUGGAUUUGUAUCAGUAGGGAUUGAGUCAGGAAGAUCAAAUCAAAGGCUACCUCCUAAAAGGGGGCAGAUCAAGAUAAAGAUACUGAAAUCUCUUGUAAAAUGAGCGGUUGGAUUUGUAUCAGUAGCCAGUGAGUCUGGAAGCUCAAAUUCCACAGCCCCACAUCAAGCUCUAAGCUGCUACAGCUCAGGGAAUGAUUCUGAUUGAUGAAAUUCUUCGAACUUUACUCAGUGUUCUUUAUUUGUACAGUAGAGUAUUGUAUAUUGGUGAAUUCUGUUGAGAACCAUCUUUCAAUUGAUCUUUCGCUUAGACAAUCCCAAUCCCAAUUCCAAUAGUAAUGAUAUGCUGUUCUUACUCGUGUGAAUUUCUGUAGUUAAAAACCAUCAAAUUGAAAUUUCUUCUCUCAGUGUACAAAUACAGAUAUCAGCUUAUACAGUACAUCAGAUAGUAAUGUCCAAGAAAGUGAAUAAGUACCAAAAACUUAAUACAAUCAAAAUUAAAGCAUUACUGCACAGACUGCUGAUCAGAAUUGGCCUGAGUUGGAGUUCGAUGUGGAGUUUGAGUAAUUCUUUUUCCCAAAUCCAUCACCCACUGACCUGACUCCACUAGCGGAUUUCAACAGAGUCCUGACUAUCCUAAUCUUCACCUCUCCUCUCCUUGGGGGAAGAAGAGCACUCUGUUUUGGUUCCAUCUUCUUCUUCUUCCUCCUUGCUCGUUUUCACAGAACAGGAUAGAGUUCAAUGGGAUAGACAGGGUGUGUGUGUGAAAGUUCUCAAAGGUAAUAUAUUUAUGGAGGCCAGAUGGCAGCAAGAAUAAA
rnacentral:lncRNA from 1 species